rnacentral:rRNA from 1 species
AUUGAACGCUGGCGGCAGGCCUAACACAUGCAAGUCGAGCGAGCGGCGGACGGGCGAGUAAAGCCUCGGAAUGUGCGUUAGUGCGGGGGAAAACUAUUGCAAACGACAGAUAAUACCGCAUACGCUAAGAUGAGCUCAGGUAGGAUUAGCUAGUGGGUGAGGUAAGAGCUCACCAAGGCGACUAUCCCUAGCUGGUCUGAGAGUAUGACCAGCCACACUGGAACUGAGACACGGUCCAGACUCCUACGGGAGGCAGCAGUGGGGAAUAUUGCACAAUGGGCGCAAGCCUGAUGCAGCCAUGCCGCGUGUAUGAAGAAGGCCUUCGGGUUGUAAAGUACUUUCAGUAGGGAGGCGUUACCUACAGAAGAAGCACCGGCUAACUCCGUGCCAGCAGCCGCGGUAAUUC